AGUGAACGCUGGCGGUAGGCCUAACACAUGCAAGUCGAACGGCAGCACAGUAAGAGCUUGCUCUUACGGGUGGCGAGUGGCGGACGGGUGAGGAAUACAUCGGAAUCUACUUUUUCGUGGGGGAUAACGUAGGGAAACUUACGCUAAUACCGCAUACGACCUACGGGUGAAAGCAGGGGAUCUUCGGACCUUGCGCGAUUGAAUGAGCCGAUGUCAGAUUAGCUAGUUGGCGGGGUAAAGGCCCACCAAGGCGACGAUCCGUAGCUGGUCUGAGAGGAUGAUCAGCCACACUGGAACUGAGACACGGUCCAGACUCCUACGAGAGGCAGCAGUGGGGAAUAUUGGACAAUGGGCGCAAGCCUGAUCCAGCCAUACCGCGUGGGUGAAGAAGGCCUUCGGGUUGUAAAGCCCUUUUGUUGGGAAAGAAAAGCAGCAGGUUAAUACCCCGCUGUUCUGACGGUACCCAAAGAAUAAGCACCGGCUAACUUCGUG
rnacentral:rRNA from 1 species